rnacentral:tRNA from 2 species
GGAAAGGUGGCAGAGUGGUCGAUUGCGUCCGACUUGAAAUCGGAUGAAGCGCAAGUUUCCGUGAGUUCGAAUCUCACCCUUUCCG